rnacentral:RNase_P_RNA from 2 species
GGAGUAAAUUAGAUGAUCGCUGGACCGUAUAUACUUGUUUUUAAAGUAUAUACGAUCGGGAGGAAAGUCCGAACACCACAGGACAUGGUGCUCCAUAACGUGGAGUCGCGGUAACGUGAAGGAAAGUGCAACAGAAAGUAAACCGCCUGAUAUUGGGUUUUAUCAAAAAAAUGUAAGUUGUUUUUGGUAAACCUGAACUUGUCGGGUAAGGGUGAAACGGUGCGGUAAGAGCGCACCAGUUCUCCGGGUGAUCGGGGAAGCUUGGUAAACCCCACCAGGUGCAAGACCAAAUAGAGAAGUGCUUGAGGGCUGUCCGUCCGAUGCUUCCGGGUAGGUCGCAUAAGAUGUCGGGCAAUCGGCAUCGUAGAUGAAUGAUCAUCGUCUAUUUUAAAAGUAAUUUUAAUAUACAACUAUU